CUGAACUCAGAGGAGGGCACAGAGUAGCCCCCAGCAGUAUUUGCUGGGAGAACGGAGCCCAGUGUCUGUCUGAUGAGGAAGGAUGCCAUAUCUGGGCGCCGAGAGGGCGAUGAGGUCAGUGCCUGAUGGAGACUGGCACAGGCAGGAAAUGAGGUAGGUGUGGCAGGAAGGGCCAGGGGCACAGGCCUCACCAGGAAUCGGCAUUCACAUCCCUUGUAUUCCCACAGUGACACCGGCUGGGGCAGGAGCUCUGGGAGAAGGUCCAGCUCCUCCAUGGCUCCCCCUGCCUCCCUCUGGUUCAUGGAGCCCACUGGGACAACCCUCAGCACCCUCUCCCCUCUCCUCUCUUUCAUCCUCUCCCGUGGGGCACCUAUGACCUGGAAGGCACUGGGGAAACAGAGGUGAAGCAAGACGGCCAGGUGGCAGGCCACUGCAACAGACGAGGUUGGCAGCACCGAAGCAGUCCAGCCAGCCUGGAGAAGUCCCGGACACCCACUCCCGUCCUCAGAACGUGAAAGACGGGCACGCUGCUGCAGAUGGAGAGCGUGUUGGACACAGCUUGUCCACAGAGUUUCCAAUACGCAUGGGAAGAUGCAACAAAGCUAGACAGCAGCUACCGGGAAAACGAACCAAAAUAAAAGUGCAAGACAUAUCA